GUCUAGCUGAAGAGUCCAGGAUAGGACGAAACGCGCGUCCUGAAU
rnacentral:hammerhead_ribozyme from 1 species